AGGGAGGUUUGCCUAGAAAAGGCCCUUGAUUUUGCAAUAAACAGUAAAGCUUGCAAUUUUACUUUAGAAGAAGCCAAAGAUUUGCUUGAAUCAGAAACUGGCAUUUGUUCUAAAAAUGUAGAAUAAAAAUCAACAAUUUGGAAAAUGUAGCAUUGGAUCACAACAAGCAUAGAAGUUCUCUCGACUUACGCUUCUAUAAACUGACAUCGUUUGCACUUAGUUUCAAUGGUUUAGGUAAAUAUUUUACGAGAAUCCACAGAUGUAGUGCUUAUAUUGAAAACAGCACCAUGGAGAUGAUUUGUAAACCCGAUUUUAAAAAUGCAGUCCACAUGUCAAAAGAUUUAUGUUUAUCAACUGCUGAUUGUCAGGAUGGGUCUAAGACAUGUUUGCUAUCAACGAAAGGACAAAUUGGCGUUUUUAAAUGCAAACCUGGGUUUAUAGGGAUCGAAAACACGUGUCUAAAAGAAAAUGUAAAAUUCAAUGAAACGUGUCAGCGAAAUGAGCAGUGUUCAGUUGUCUUAGGAUCGGCUUGUCAUAACAAUACAUGUAGUUGUCGUCAAGGAUAUGUCCUCUGGAAUGAUUCGGAA